GACGAACGCUGGCGGCGUGCCUAAUACAUGCAAGUUGAGCGCUGAAGGUUGGUACUUGUACCGACUGGAUGAGCAGCGAACGGGUGAGUAACGCGUGGGGAAUCUGCCUUUGAGCGGGGGACAACAUUUGGAAACGAAUGCUAAUACCGCAUAAAAACUUUAAACACAAGUUUUAAGUUUGAAAGAUGCAAUUGCAUCACUCAAAGAUGAUCCCGCGUUGUAUUAGCUAGUUGGUGAGGUAAAGGCUCACCAAGGCGAUGAUACAUAGCCGACCUGAGAGGGUGAUCGGCCACAUUGGGACUGAGACACGGCCCAAACUCCUACGGGAGGCAGCAGUAGGGAAUCUUCGGCAAUGGACGAAAGUCUGACCGAGCAACGCCGCGUGAGUGAAGAAGGUUUUCGGAUCGUAAAACUCUGUUGGUAGAGAAGAACGUUGGUGAGAGUAGAAAGCUCAUCAAGUGACGGUAACUACCCAGAAAGGGACGGCUAACUACGUG
rnacentral:rRNA from 1 species